AAGCUAGUAAGAUCCCUGAAAGAUGAUCAGGUUGAUAGGUCAGAGGUGGAAGCGUGGCGACAUGUGGAGCUGACUGAUACUAAUAGAUCGAGGACUUAACUAAA
rnacentral:rRNA from 1 species